ACAUUGUUUGCAGGCUCAGAUGCUGAUGACAUGGAGCACGGCGAAUUGGAAGACUCAAGUCAAAAUACCUAUGUCGACCAUGAUCCAUUGGACUAUGUCUACUCAAACCUCCCAGACCACACACACAUCCUGAAGCACGCCGCAAAUUGCGAUCAGUGCAAGGCCAAGAAGUUUGUGUCCGAGGCCCCGGGAUUCUGCUGUCGCAGUGGGCAGAUCCAACUGAAGCAACCGGAGCCCAUCCCGGAGCUAAUGAGGCUUUGGUCUAGCAUGGAUGCGGACUCAAGGCAUUUUCGGGAGAACAUACGGUUCUUCAAUGGCCACUCCUUCACAACCCUCGGAGUCAGCCUUGAUGAAAGCUACACAAACAUGAAGUCUGGGGUGUACACGUUCCGGGCGCAUGGAACCAUCUAC
rnacentral:rRNA from 1 species